rnacentral:rRNA from 1 species
AUUGAACGCUGGCGGCAGGCCUAACACAUGCAAGUCGAGCGGAUGAAGGGAGCUUGCUCCUGGAUUCAGCGGCGGACGGGUGAGUAAUGCCUAGGAAUCUGCCUGGUAGUGGGGGAUAACGUCCGGAAACGGGCGCUAAUACCGCAUACGUCCUGAGGGAGAAAGUGGGGGAUCUUCGGACCUCACGCGAUCAGAUGAGCCUAGGUCGGAUUAGCUAGUUGGUGGGGUAAAGGCCUACCAAGGCGACGAUCCGUAACUGGUCUGAGAGGAUGAUCAGUCACACUGGAACUGAGACACGGUCCAGACUCCUACGGGAGGCAGCAGUGGGGAAUGUUGGACAAUGGGCGAAAGCCUGAUCCAGCCAUGCCGCGUGUGUGAAGAAGGUCUUCGGAUUGUAAAGCACUUUAAGUUGGGAGGAAGGGCAGUAAGUUAAUACCUUGCUGUUUUGACGUUACCAACAGAAUAAGCACCGGCUAACUUCGUG